AAUAUUGCGCAAUGGACGGAAGUCUGACGCAGCGACGCCGCGUGAGCGAUGAAGGUCUUCGGUUCGUAAAGCUCUGUCCUUGGGGAAGACGGGCUUCGGCCUUGACGGUACCCAAGAAGAAAGCCCCGGCUAACUACUUGCCAGCAGCCGCGGUAAUACGUAGGGGGCGAGCGUUGUCCGGAAUUACUGGGCGUAAAGGGUGCGUAGGCGGCCUUUUAAGUCAGGUGUGAAAGCCCACGGCUUAACCGUGGGAUUGCAUUUGAAACUGGAAGGCUUGAGUAUCGGAGAGGGUAGUGGAAUUCCCAGUGUAGCGGUGGAAUGCGUAGAUAUUGGGAGGAACACCAGUGGCGAAGGCGACUACCUGGACGAAAACUGACGCUGAGGCACGAAAGCUAGGGGAGCAAAC
rnacentral:rRNA from 1 species